rnacentral:rRNA from 1 species
AGCGAACGCUGGCGGCAUGCUUAACACAUGCAAGUCGCACGGGCGGGGGCAACUCCGUCAGUGGCGGACGGGUGAGUAACGCGUAGGUAUCUGUCUCUGGGUGGGGGAUAACCGCGGGAAACUGUGGCUAAUACCGCAUGACACCUGAGGGUCAAAGGCGUGAGUCGCCUGGGGAGGAGCCUGCGUACGAUUAGCUAGUUGGUAGGGUAAUGGCCUACCAAGGCGACGAUCGUUAGCUGGUCUGAGAGGAUGAUCAGCCACACUGGGACUGAGACAC